rnacentral:rRNA from 1 species
GACAGAGGGUGCAAACGUUGUUCGGAAUUACUGGGCGUAAAGCGAGCGUAGGCGGUUUGGUAAGUCGGAUGUGAAAGCCCCGGGCUCAACCCGGGAAGUGCACUCGAUACUGCCAAGCUAGAGUGUCGGAGAGGUUGGUGGAAUUCUCGGUGUAGAGGUGAAAUUCGUAGAUAUCGAGAGGAACACCGGUGGCGAAGGCGGCCAACUGGACGAAUACUGACGCUGAGACACGAAAGCGUGGGGAGCAAACAGG